ACCCUUGUCCCUAUAGCUCCAUCCUUGGCGGCAGAACGUAAGCGGGAGAGACUUUUGUCCCAUGAUGUUUGUUUCAUGGGAGAGAGGCUGUGGUGAGAGAGAUUGCGGAGCAGCGACGAUGGACGCAAGUUUUCCUUUUGCCUUGCGGACUGUCGCUACUGUUCUGUGGUCUGUACUCCGGCGAGCCGUUUGCUUGCCGUAUGGCCGAGUUUCCAAGCGCUGCUAGAGCAUUGCGCCUCCCCCAAAUCUGCGCGCAGCUCAACCCUGCAACCUAGAAUCCGAAAGCUCAAGCCCAAACGCGUGCGCGCGCGCGCGACAGACCAGGCCCCGCCCCGCCGCUAUGCCACCGGCGGCGGCGGCGGCCGCGGCUUCGAGUACUGCGAGCUGUGCCGCCGGAACCACGACCGGGGCCAGGGCCGGCGCCGCCGCUACUUCCCCGCCCACCCCGGCCGCCGCGCGCCCCCCUCCACGCCUUCCCGCAUCUGGUGCCCCACUUCGAUUGGUAGCUUGUACAUACUCCUCAAUGCCUUCCAGCAUCUGGUGCCCCACUUCGAUUGGUGCGCCUAGGAUUUUGAUGCAGGUCGCAGCAGUUUGGAUGGCCCGAUAGAACACUCCACCCAGCAAAUGCUGGUACAGCAGGAUCAUGGUGCCGUUCAAAGGCCGGUAUGGUUUUUAGAAAAAAGUAGUAUAGUUUAUUAUGCAUAUUGGAUUAUAUGAUCAGCUAAAAUGCAGUUACUCUGUUGAAAACAAGUGCAGUUACUAGCCACUAGCCAGGCAUGACCAUGUUAUGCAGUGAACUUGGUUAACUGCAAAGAUUGUUCGGUAAGAGGAUUUUUCUUAAUAAAAAUCCAAUUUAGUCUUCCAAAUUCAUUCUCGUUCAGAAAAAUGUUUCCCAAAAUUCAUUGCCAAUUUAGUGCAGAGUUUUAUUGGUUAUUAUGUGAUGGAGAAAGAUGCCUGACAUGCUGGCCAUUCCAGAAGCUAAGAAACUAGACGAGUCGAAAUUCCCCACUCCCUUUUUCUACCUCUCAGUUUUCUUCUUCUCCAACUCUGGGAAUCGAUCCGUUGUUAAGAGUUUUUUCAUCCUCAGAGUGAACCCUUUUGCUCCAUACUUUACAUAAGCAAAUGCCUCUUUCAGUUCAGAUGGCACAAGCAGCCAUAGGUUGAAGAUCGUGAUGCAUUGUCAUUCAGCAGCACCAUAGGGUUUAUUUGUUUUCUGUAUAGUGUUGCAGACAGCCUCAUUCAGCACUUUUCUCACCCAUGACAUGAAACUUCACAUCUAUUAGGUUUUAGCAUUGCGUCUUUUCCCAUUUAUUUCCUAUUUCCGCUAUGUAAUAAGGCAUGCCAAUAGGAGGUUUAAGUUUGGGGAUGCAAAAUUUUAGCUGAAAUUCAUCUAGCAUGAUUGUAGUGCAUAUUUUGACUUGUAUCACUAAUAUUCCAAGUUUGCGUUUGUUUUAGUGUGAAACAUCAUCUGGGAGUCUGUACUUCUUGGAUGGGGCUGGCCCGCCGUCUAAAUAUGUUGUAUUAGGAUGAACCUAGCCUCUCCUAUAGCACUCAGGAUUUUCAACCUAACUUUUUCAACAGUAGUUACUACAUUUACUUGAGAUCGUGCAUGACAGUUUCUCUGCUACAACCUAAGCAUGACAGUUCAUCUGCUAUAACUUACGCAUGACAAUAAAACAUUUUAGUUGGUACCAUGGGUUCUGCUGUAUGCACUGGAUAGUCUAAAUUAGAACACUUCUUUUUAUCAUGAACACAAGUCUUCUAUCAUUUUCUGAUUAUACUUGGCAGAUAAAUAGGUUGCUGAUCGGUUUAACAUAAAUUAGAUAAUUUUCUUACAAGGCUACAAGCCAAUGGUAUCAUGCAACAUGUUUACCAACCAAUUGUGAAGAUGGUUGGUACCCUUUUAGUUCAUUACUUUCCUGAGAGGUAGGAUCUGGGAUUAACCAGUAUAUAGUGUCUGGUUCCUAUUUCAUAGAGGAUAGAUUUCAUGUUUUGCUAAGUUUGUUGUAGAAUGUUCAUAUCUGUAAAUGAUUGUUUAUAAUAUUUUAGUUGUUACCUACAAGCAAACAUUUAUGAUCCGUCUGAAUCAAUGGGGCAAAGAGAGAUGAUGCCAAGAGGAUUUCAAAUCCUUUUUCUAACAGCCUUCUUAUAUAUCUUAAACAGGUGCAACUGGGCAAUGUACAUGGGUAACAGGGCAAGUCCAGACCAGAAAAUGAUGGAACUGUUCAAUAAAGCGAGUGGACUGGAGUAGAGGACUCCCAAGCAAAUUUCAUCUCUUCUGAGAUUAGACAGCCAGCAAUGUGUUUGGUUCUCCCAAUCUCUUUUCCCCAUAUUUCUGCUGUUAAAAGCAAGACAUGGAAUGUGGAGGCAGACCAUGAGGUAAGAUAGGUGUCACUCUCGUAAGUAUGCUACAUUCGCCUGCUCUUUUCUCCCAAUUUUCCUAUUUGUAUUUCCUAACCAUGGCAAAUAAUAAAUAGCUUGUCAUCGAUUUAGGCAUUUAGCGCAAGGUACAUUUGUUUGCAUUGGUAAAAUGGUCAUUUCAGAAUCCCUCACUUGAAAGUGAACUGAGGCUUUGUACAUAAGCACUCGGAGAUUAGGUAGAACAGGUAAGAGGUAAGUCAUUUGAAAUUAACUCAUCAAGAUAUCCACUAACAGAAACUCCAGAUUUUGCAUAUAGUUUAUGAUGUUAGAGAUAGAGAGAAUGCAUUGAAGAUGUCCCUGAACGUUUGUGAUGUCGAUCCAAGUGGUGGUGAUCUGCAUCCGGUCGAUGUGCUGUGGGAAGAGGUAUGUGCAUGCUGCUUCGUGCCAUUUUACUACAUGCCAUCCAGCUUUUGUUCAUCUUCUUUCUAAGGUUACUAAAUUCAUAUAGGUAUGCAUAGGAAUUGGUUCAGGUGGUUUAUGUUAACUUAUUUAAGUUGGUUCAGGCUAAAUUAUUCAAAACAAUUUUGCACCGUCUCUCAACAUGGUGGUUGAGCUGCAGUUCGGUUGCAUAUGUGCAGUUUUAAGCGAACUUUGUCAUUCUACUGGAUUAGAUGGUAUAGGUGUUGAUGGACGUUAAUCUGCUAAGCUGGUUCUAGAGUGUGCUUGGCCUAGGUUAUUUAGACAGGUUCACCGUUUAUUCUGGGACAAAUCAGUGGACUGAACGGCAAAAACUCCAAAUUAUUUUUUUAGGUCUUAAAAAGAUUACCUUUUGAUGUAGUUGUCUGCAGAUGUUACAUUUGGAAGGUUAUUUUGCAUAAUUCCAUUCAGGGCUAGAGAUGUUGUGUUUGGAUGGACCCCACUGCAAGCUGAUGAUGUCUGCUGUCAAAGCGGCGACAAGAGGUGGAAAGUGAAUAAAUAAAUAAAAUAGAGAGAGAAAGAUGUCCAAUUCUAAUCCUUUCAAUUGAUGUUUCUUUCUGUCAUUUUCUUCGUUCAUGCUUCCAGUGACCCACAGUUAAGAAGUUAUAGAAUUGAUAACAACUGAAGAUGUUUUUGUAGGAAACAAGAUGGUUAGCAGAAUCAUGCAAGGCACAAAAUGGUUGACUAAGCAUAAAGAAGAAUCAGACCAGAUUUGAUUAAUACACAAAUUCCACAUCUCUGCUUCGUAUUUAGAAGGGAAGUCUUCAUCACAAAUCUUGGUUAUGUCUGUUGUUGAUCUAAUAAAUGUGGCUACCCGCAUAUGAGUAUUUAUUUUCUUCUCUCUUUUUUUUGAAGGGAAGGAGAUGACAAACUGGUUUCGCCAAGUUGCCCUCCUUGCUGGUCGCCAAGUUGACCAGAAGCUGCACAUGAAGAAACAACGAGCACUAAUCAUGAUCAAUGGAGUUCCUGGAGAUCGUAUAAACUAUGUGCGAGGACUGCGACAAGGAGACCCCAUCUCCCUGAUGCUCGUCGUCAUUGCCAUGGAGGCCCUCACAGCGCUUAUAUCCAAAGCUGAAAGAUCUGAUGUCCUGAGCGCUUUGCCAGGUAUAUAAACCCCCUUCAGAGACUUCAGUCCAUGCGGAUGAUGUGGUUCUGGUUCUGUUUCUGAAAACCGAGUGCGACCUGCUGUGUGUGAGGCAACUUCUGAAUAUGUUUGGGGAAGCAUCAGGUCUGCGGAUCAACUGUACAAAAUCUUCGGCCAUUGUGGCCAGAGGGGAUCACCGUGACCAUGAUGAGGAGAGGAUCGCUCCUAUCCUACAGCGUUCCAUUGGCGCUUUUCCCUGCAAGUAUUUGGGGCUUCAGUUAGCUAUUUUAUCUCUCACUGAAGCUGAAUGGCAGCCUACCCUGGAUUCCAUUAGGGCCUGUGCCCCAGCAUGGCAACGAGGCCUCAUAAACAGAGCCGGCAGACUGGUCCUUGUGGAUUCAGUCCCAUCUGCUCGACCAACUCAUCGUUUGCUGAUUUCUGAAGCUCCGAAGUCGGCAAUUCUUCAACUUGAAAGGUGGCUGUGUGCAAUCCAUCGUAUAAAUUUCGGAUGUCCAAGCCUCCAAAGCUUUUUAGGUUUGCAAUCGUUCUUCCAGGAAAUCGCGUUUGCUUCUCAUAUUUGUGUUUCUUUUGAACAACACUCAUUUCAACGUAUUUCGUCUUGAAAAUUUGUACACAUGUACAUUAUGCCUCCAUGUAUAUGUGUAUUUUUUUCAUAAUUUUUUGAAAUGUAGAAAUAUGAGUAUUGAUGAAUUUUGAAAAUUGCAAAUGGAGGCCUCCAAGCAUGUAUAAA